rnacentral:snRNA from 1 species
AUCACUUCUCAGCCUUUUGGCUAAGAUCAAGUGUAGUAUCAAAUAGUGAAAAGCAGUUAUCACUUCUC